rnacentral:rRNA from 1 species
UACGUAGGGGGCAAGCGUUGUCCGGAUUUAUUGGGCGUAAAGAGCGUGUAGGCGGCCAGACAGGUCCGUUGUGAAAACUCGAGGCUCAACCUCGAGACGCCGAUGGAAACCGUCUGGCUAGAGUCCGGAAGAGGAGAGUGGAAUUCCUGGUGUAGCGGUGAAAUGCGUAGAUAUCAGGAGGAACACCGGUGGCGAAGGCGCCUAUCUGGCCCGAUACUGACGCUGAGGCGCGAAAGCUAGGGGAGCAAACGGG